GGCUCGAGGACGAACGCUGGCGGCGUGCCUAAUACAUGCAAGUCGAACGGCUUUUCUAUGGAAGCUUGCUUCCACUGAGAAGAUAGUGGCGAACGGGUGAGUAACACGUGGGUAACCUGCCCAUAAGAGGGGGAUAACAUCCGGAAACGGGUGCUAAUACCGCAUAGUUUUCUUGAUUGCAUGAUUGAGAAAGGAAAGACGGCCUUUGUGCUGUCGCUUAUGGAUGGACCCGCGGCGUAUUAGUUAGUUGGUGAGGUAACGGCUCACCAAGACGAUGAUACGUAGCCGACCUGAGAGGGUGAUCGGCCACAUUGGGACUGAGACACGGCCCAAACUCCUACGGGAGGCAGCAGUAGGGAAUCUUCCGCAAUGGACGAAAGUCUGACGGAGCAACGCCGCGUGAGUGAAGAAAGGUUUUCGGAUCGUAAAACUCUGUUGUCAGAGAAGAACAAGUUGGAGAGUAACUGCUCCAGCCUUGACGGUAUCUGACCAGAAAGCCACGGCUAACUACGUGCCAGCAGCCGC
rnacentral:rRNA from 1 species